UCCAACGCUCGAAGUGAAGAAACGAAGCCGUUCCUUGACAAGUCUGUUCGAAUCGUUCACUCCUUACGCAGGAAUGGAGGUUGGCCUGUGUACAAGUUCUACUUCCAGCUGUACCGGGCCUUCUUGGAAGCAAGUUAAUGUGAAGAUUACGUCUGUCGGAA